rnacentral:rRNA from 1 species
AUUGAACGCUGGCGGCAGGCCUAACACAUGCAAGUCGAGCGGAUGAAGGGAGCUUGCUCCUGGAUUCAGCGGCGGACGGGUGAGUAAUGCCUAGGAAUCUGCCUGGUAGUGGGGGAUAACGUCCGGAAACGGGCGCUAAUACCGCAUACGUCCUGAGGGAGAAAGUGGGGGAUCUUCGGACCUCACGCUAUCAGAUGAGCCUAGGUCGGAUUAGCUAGUUGGUGGGGUAAAGGCCUACCAAGGCGACGAUCCGUAACUGGUCUGAGAGGAUGAUCAGUCACACUGGAACUGAGACACAGUCCAGACUCCUACGGGAGGCAGCAGUGGGGAAUAUUGGACAAUGGGCGAAAGCCUGAUCCAGCCAUGCCGCGUGUGUGAAGAAGGUCUUCGGAUUGUAAAGCACUUUAAGUUGGGAGGAAGGGCAGUAAGUUAAUACCUUGCUGUUUUGACGUGACCAACAGAAUAAGCACCGGCUAACUUCG